GCCCUUCGGGGUGGAUUAGUGGCGAACGGGUGAGUAACACGUGGGCAAUCUGCCCUUCACUCUGGGACAAGCCCUGGAAACGGGGUCUAAUACCGGAUAACACUCCUGCCCGCAUGGGUGGGGGUUAAAAGCUCCGGCGGUGAAGGAUGAGCCCGCGGCCUAUCAGCUUGUUGGUGAGGUAGUGGCUCACCAAGGCGACGACGGGUAGCCGGCCUGAGAGGGCGACCGGCCACACUGGGACUGAGACACGGCCCAGACUCCUACGGGAGGCAGCAGUGGGGAAUAUUGCACAAUGGGCGAAAGCCUGAUGCAGCGACGCCGCGUGAGGGAUGACGGCCUUCGGGUUGUAAACCUCUUUCAGCAGGGAAGAAGCGAAAGUGACGGUACCUGCAGAAGAAGCGCCGGCUAACUACGUGCCAGCAGCCGCGGUAAUACGUAGGGCGCAAGCGUUGUCCGGAAUUAUUGGGCGUAAAGAGCUCGUAGGCGGCUUGUCACGUCGGGUGUGAAAGCCCGGGGCUUAACCCCGGGUCUGCAUUCGAUACGGGCUAGCUAGAGUGUGGUAGGGGAGAUCGGAAUUCCUGGUGUAGCGGUGAAAUGCGCAGAUAUCAGGAGGAACACCGGUGGCGAAGGCGGAUCUCU
rnacentral:rRNA from 1 species